rnacentral:ncRNA from 1 species
ACCGUAUUAUUGCCAACUGGAUAACCCACAUCCUGAACGAUGACAGGUUGUGGUUGGGAAGGGGGUUUAACUCCCCCGCAGCCCCCGCUGCUGUGAUGCCGACGAAUCCACUGCGCCACUGAUCUGAGGAUUGGGAAGGGAGUGGAUGAGGAUGACGCUAAGCCAGAAGACCGGCCAGUUGGUCACACAUUCA